rnacentral:tRNA from 1 species
GGCGGAGNAGCUCAGGUGGUUAGAGCAGCGGAAUCAUAAUCCGCGUGUCGGGGGUUCGAGUCCCUCCUCCGCUACCA